ACGGGGGGGGCAAGCGUUGUUCGGAAUUACUGGGCGUAAAGGGCUCGUAGGUGGCCCUCUAAGUCAGACGUGAAAUCCCUCGGCUUAACCGGGGAACUGCGUCUGAUACUGGAGGGCUUGAGUUUGGGAGAGGGAUGCGGAAUUCCCGGUGUAGUGGUGAAAUGCGUAGAUAUCGGGAGGAACACCAGUGGCGAAAGCGGCUCUCUAGGCCGUACCUGACGCUCAGAUGCGAAAGCCAGGGGAGAGAACGGGA
rnacentral:rRNA from 1 species